AACGAACGCUGGCGGCAUGCCUAACACAUGCAAGUCGAACGAGACCUUCGGGUCUAGUGGCGCACGGGUGCGUAACGCGUGGGAAUCUGCCCUUGGGUUCGGAAUAACAGCGAGAAAUUGCUGCUAAUACCGGAUGAUGACGUAAGUCCAAAGAUUUAUCGCCCAAGGAUGAGCCCGCGUAGGAUUAGCUAGUUGGUGAGGUAAAGGCUCACCAAGGCGACGAUCCUUAGCUGGUCUGAGAGGAUGAUCAGCCACACUGGGACUGAGACACGGCCCAGACUCCUACGGGAGGCAGCAGUGGGGAAUAUUGGACAAUGGGCGAAAGCCUGAUCCAGCAAUGCCGCGUGAGUGAUGAAGGCCUUAGGGUUGUAAAGCUCUUUUACCCGGGAUGAUAAUGACAGUACCGGGAGAAUAAGCCCCGGCUAACUCCGUGCCAGCAGCCGCGGUAAU
rnacentral:rRNA from 1 species